rfam:Hordeum vulgare subsp. vulgare, WGS project CAJW01000000 data, contig: morex_contig_50609
UGUAUAUUCCCUCCCUUCUAGAAUUCUUGUCUUAGAUUUUUCUAGAUAUAAAUAUAUCUAGUCACAUUUUAGUAUUUAGAUACAUCAAUUUCUAAACAAACGCAAGACAAGAAUUUUAGGACGGAGGGAGUAUACA